ACCUGGCCGGCUCAGUUGGGAGAGCAUGUGACUCUUGAUCUCAGGGUCAUGAGUUCGAGCCCCAUGUUGGGUA
rnacentral:tRNA from 1 species